GAGAUGGGGCCUCCCUAUGUUGCCCAGGCUGGUCUCAAACUCCUGGACUCAGAUGAUCUUCUCCCCUGGCCUCCCAAUGUGCUGGGAUUACAGGCAUGAGCCACCACACCAGGCCACCUGGAAAUUCGAAGCAAGUUAGAGAUUCACCUACACCAAGGGUGAGAGGGAUUGGGUUGUUGGAGAUGGAAGAGGUUUGUGGAGAUGAUCUGGCAAAGGCUGCUGGAGUAUAAUGAGACCCACCAUCCCUGCUCCUUACUUCGAGCAGAGAGAGGGGCCUUCAAAGGACCCCUCGGAAAAUUCAUGUCCCUGAAUCUAGAUGGACGCAGCUGACCUGGAUUUGACCAUACCUGUGGAUCUGAGAUUCCAAACUGGCCGGCUAACUUGAUGGCAAACUAAAGUGAAUUCCCAGGAGAAGGAUCAACCAGAUGCCCAGAGUCUUUGGUCGGGGGGUCAAAUAAUUCAUGAGAGUUUCUUGUAGACCUGAUGUAAUGAGCCCAUGAUGAAGAGAAGGAAUGGGGAUGCAUUCCAGAACUUGUUCAAGUGGCCGUUAGAAAAACACCAGGCUCCAGCGGCGGAGUAGCUGGAGCUGCUCUUUCUUUCCCAAAGGGGUAAGGGGAAUUCAGCAACCACAAACUAGAUUCCACGUGCCCAAGCCAACGGACCUUCAAUGCCUGAGACUGGAUGGAUCAGGGGUUGGCAAAAUGUGGCCCCUGGCCUGGCUGGCUGUUACUGUAACUGCAGAUUUAUUGGAACACAGCCACGAGCGUUCAUUGGCAUUACAAGGGCAGCGUUGAGUAGCUGCAACAGAAGAUGUGUGACCUGCAAAGCCUAAAAUAUUCACUAUCUGACCUUUUACAGAGGACAUUUGCUGACCCUCAGCAUAGGUUCUCGGAAAACCCCUCAAAAAUACUGGGGCAGCUGUGACAGAUUUGGACUUAAAAUAGUUUUCACACUCGGAGUGCAUGAAACCAUCUUAAAAUAUUACCAUUCAAGUAGAAACUUUCCAUCUCCUCUUACUUCUUGCUUUCCCUACAUCAGCCAAAUACAGUCAGAAACUUCUGUGGGCGGAGGAGCAAAGAGAGAAAUGACCGGCCUUCCUUACCCACUGGAAGAUUCCAGACCUCAGCAGACCCCAGUGUUGGGUGGAUGAAUGGGAGGAAGGACAGUGUGAGAUUUUACUGGUCUGAAUCUGUUGCCUAAGCUGGAGUGCAGCUGGAGUACGAUCUCGGCUCACUGCAACUUCUGCAUCCCAGGCUCCAACAAUCCCCCUGCCUCAGUCUCCCAGAUCAACUUGAAAAACAACCGAGUGAAUAUCUAAAGAUGAAAAACUGGAAAUUGGAAACUCAAUAACUGGAUACAUCACAGAUUACAGAAAAACAGAGCUGGUGAAAUUACUCAGACCGUAGCACAGACAAACGCGGAAAUGGAAAAUCUGAGCAGUUAAGCCACAUGGAGAGGAAAGUAAUAUCAGUCAACAUUAAAGCAUGUCUAAUGCUUCCUAAAGGAGAGAACAGAGAAAAAGGAGAAAAGGUAAGCGUUUGAAAGAGAAUGAUGAUUGAGCACUUUCUUGGACUGCUGGAAAAACCAUCUCUUAGAUUCUGGAAGCCCAAGCAAUCCCAAGUAGAGUAAAUUAAAAGAAAUUCAACACCAAGAUAUAUAAUAAAAUUGCAGAACACCAAAGUUUAUUAAAAAAAAAACAAACAACCUUAAAGUUAUCCAGAGGGAAAGGAUAAAUUGCUUAACAAUUGGUUAACUAUAUAAUUUAUUGGCCAAAUUUAUUGACCAAAUCAGGAUACCAGGAUACCAGGAUACUCUUUUUUUUUUUGACGGAGUCUCUCACCCAGGUUGGAGUGCAGUGGCGCAAUCUCUGCUCACUGCAACCUUGGCAUCCCAGGUCCAAGUGAUUCUCUUGCCUCAGCCUCCCUAGUAGCUGGCACUACAGGCAUGCACCACCAUGCCCAGCUAAUUUUUUUGUAUUUUUAGUGGAGACGGUGUUUCGCCAUCUUGGCCAGGCUGGUCUAGAACUCCUGACCUCCCGUGAUCUGCCCACAUCAGCCUCCCAAAGUGCUAGGAUUACAGGCAUGUAAUUACAUUACACCGUGCCCGGCCAAACCAGGAUACUCUUGAGAAUGAAAGGGGUGCUAACUAACCGGUGAAGAGUAUCACAGAAAUAAAUAGGAAUUAUGGCAGGCAAAUUAGGGCAUAUGUCAAAAUCUAUAAAAAAAUAACAAUUCCAUUGACAGCAAGGACAAUGAAGGUCAGGAAGACAAUGCAUAACAUCUUCAAAGCACUGAAAAUAUAUUCAGCUGGAACUGCAUGUAACCAAACUCUCUUUUAGUAACAAGGGACAAAGAAAAACACAUUUAGAGAAGCAAAAACUGAGAAGUCAUGACGAACAGACUCCCUCCAAAGUAAUUUCUUUAUAAGAGAACAAAAGAAUCUCAGAAAGAGUCUAAGGGGCAUGAAUGUGAAUAAAGAAAAUUCAUAUGACUGAUAAGGUUAUGAUAAAAAUGUUCAAUGUAUAAGACCACAAAAAUUAAGAUAUAUACACAAAUUUCUAUACAAAAAAUAGCAUAAAUGUCAGGAGGAGAAGAAAAUGGGAGAAAGGCCAACCGAGGCUCUUAGAUUUUGGGGAGGAGGGUAAAGCUGUUGAUUAACUUUACAUUUUGUUAAAUUAAACAUGCAUGUUGUAUUUUCUGGGCCAUUACUAAAAACAGAAAUAAUUUAUCAUUUAGAAAAUACUAAGGAAUGGAACAAAAACUUAAUCCAAAGCAGAGCAAGAAAGGACUAAAAGGGAGAUAAACUUGGGAGAAAAUUAGAAAAUACAAAAUAAUAGUAAUCACAUUAAGUAUAAACGGACUAAUAUCUGCAGUUCAGAGAUAAACAUUGUCAGACUAGAUUUUUUUUAGAAAUCUAAUUAUAUUCUGUUUAGAAGAAGUAAACUGAACAGAACACAGUAAGGCUUAACUGGAAAAGAUAUAUUUACGAAGACGAAAGUAGGAGAAUUAUUUUAAUAAUAGAAAAAAUAGACAUCAGAAAUAAAAACAUUAAUGACAAUGAAGAAGAUUACUACAUGUUCAUAAAAGUUGCAACUCACCAGAAAGAUGUUCCAUUCUAAAUUUAUACAAAUUCAAUAAAAUAGCUUCAAAAUAUAUAAAGGUUAAUUUGGAAGAAUAUAGGAAGAAUUUUACAUACCAGUCGUGGUAGUGGGGGAUUCCAAUGUACCUCUUUAGCAAUUGAUAGAUCAAGCAGGCAAGAAAACGUAAGCUGGAUCUAAAGGUCAUUACAUAUAAAAAUUACAUUUUGGGCCACAAAGCAAAUGUCAAUGAAUAUUUGAAAAACCUAUUUCAUAUAGACAACAAUCUCUGGCCAUAGCACAAUUAAAUUAGAUACCAAUAGCAAAAUGUUCAUUCUACACACUCAAAAAUCAAAGUUUUAAAAAUUAAAAAUAAGCUGAAUCAUCCAUGGGUCAAAAGAAGUUCUAACUUCUUUUUUUUUUUUUUUUUUUUUGAGACAGAGUCUCACUUAUCACCCAGGCUGGAGUGCAGUGGCGCGAUCUCAGCCCACUGCAACCUCUGCCUCCUUGGUUCAAGCGAUUCCGCUGCCUCAGCCUUCCAAGUAGCUGGGAUUACAGGCAUGCGCCACCAUCCCUGGCUAAUUUUUGUGUUUUUAGUAGAAACAGGGUUUCACUGUGUUGGCCAGGCUGCUCUCCUGACCUCAGGUGAUCCGCCUGCCUUAGCCUCCCAAAGUGCUUGGAUUAUAAGCAUGAGCCACCGUGGCCCAGCCUAGAAAUUCUAACUUCUUAGAAAAUAUUUGGGAUUACAAAGUAAGGAAAAUGCUGUACAUUAACACUUGCGUAUUGCAAUAAAAGCUGUACUUAGCAAAACAACAGCAACAAACAAAAAAAACCACUCAUAGCCUUAAAUUUUAAAUCUUUUUGGGUUUAAAAUGUACCCAAAUAAUACAGAAGAAAGAAAACAUUAAAUAAAUAUACCUCUCAUUACUUUAUGGCUGCUAUUUAACAUUGUUAUUCUUCUGUUUCUCUUCUUAUUUUUGUUGGUCUGCUUCUGUUGCUAUAUAUUUUAUCUUUAUCUUGUUAAUUUUGGAGUUCAAUCAUAAUAUUUCAUUCAGUUAAUCACCUGGCUGUCUCCUGCUCUCUAAAUCAGACCAAAUGACUCUAUUGUCCUAUUAUUUCGAUGCUGUCUCUCCCUCUGAGCUCCACUGUCUCCUCUACUAAUUUCUUCUUGAUUCCUUCAUAUUUUGCUCACCACCUAACGGAAUGAAAUCUUUAGAAUUCUUCAUUUUCCCCUUUUCUUCCUUCUCUCAUAUCCCUCAGUCCUUAAUUAAACUUUGAGUUGAUUUCACUUCCUCUUGCGUUCUUAAUUCCAGUGUAUUGCUAACAUAGUUUAAUACACCAGAUUUUCACUU